rnacentral:rRNA from 1 species
AUUGAACGCUGGCGGCAUGCCUUACACAUGCAAGUCGAACGGCAGCAUGGAGUGCUUGCUCUCUGAUGGCGAGUGGCGAACGGGUGAGUAAAGCAUCGGAACGUACCGUGUAAUGGGGGAUAACGUAGCGAAAGUUACGCUAAUACCGCAUACGACCUGAGGGUGAAAGCAGGGGAUCGCAAGACCUUGCGUUAUACGAGCGGCCGAUGUCAGAUUAGCUAGUUGGUAGGGUAAAGGCCUACCAAGGCGACGAUCUGUAGCGGGUCUGAGAGGAUGAUCCGCCACACUGGAACUGAGAAACGGCCCAGACUCCUACGGGAGGCAGCAGUGGGGAAUUUUGGACAAUGGGGGCAACCCUGAUCCAGCCAUGCCGCGUGAGUGAAGAAGGCCUUCGGGUUGUAAAGCUCUUUCGGCCGGGAAGAAAUCGCACAGGCUAAUACUCUGUGUGGAUGACGGUACCGGCAUAAGAAGCACCGGCUAACUACGUGCCAGCCGCCGCAGUAA